rnacentral:snoRNA from 1 species
ACUGUACAUGAUGACAACUGGCUCCCUAUACUGAACCUGGUGACGAAAGAAAAGCACGUCACCAUUUCUGACUACAGU